AGCUAGUACAAGAUCCUGAUAAGGAUAAAUCUAAUACAAGAUAAACAUAGAAGAUAUAUUCAUAGUUAUCUCUUUACUUUUCGUCUUCCUCAGCCUCUUCUCUGUUAAACCCUUUCUGAAAAUUUCCAGGUUCAGGAUGCUUUACAAGAAAAAUAAGACGGUCAUGUAGUCAUGGUAAGAUUCUAUUUAUCUUCUUCGCUUCACCCUGUGUAAAUUAUAUAGCUUUUGAUUUGAGAUUCACUUAGCUGUUGCUGUGUAAAUGUGAACUUGAUUUGCAACCAAAAGCAGAUAGAUUUCAUGUGUUCUCGACCACAGCCUCAUCGUCUGUUUCAUACACAACUCAGUUAGCUUGAAGAGAACCGCCUGGUGUUUGAGUUGGACAGAUUCAUGUCCAUUCAUCGAAAGAAUUUGAAGCGAACUCUGAUCUCAGUGUUUAUAUACUCUUAUGAACUAUUUUUUUUGUUGUGGAAAUCGUUUGAAGAAAGGAGAUUUAGUGCACCUCCAGAUUCCUUUAACAAUUGACUUUCAUCUUUAUUCCCAUCUAACGACUUUCACUACUGUCUUAUUCACGGCGUAACUAAUUUGUUAUUCUUCAUUUUGAUUUCUUAUUUUUUUAUCUGCUCCCACUAGUUUUGAUUCAUUUGUUUCCAGGGAACAGCAGCUAGACCUUAGAAUCUAGGGAUGAGACGCGCUGCGUGUGAUGAGUCGGAAGUAUUUAUAGAUUAGCUCUGUUCUUUUCAUCACCGCUGCUUCCAGCGUCAGCGUCGGAUAAUUACGCCUUACACACAAACGAAACGGACGCUGGUGAAGCAUCAUCGGCGUCUUUUUCAAUUGCUGCGGCAAUUAAUAACAAACGACACCGACGCGGAAAAUUUCAGUGGCAUUGGCAUUUAACUUUCAGUUCUGUUUACUUUUCUGUCUCCGUCAGAUUGCAUUAUGGAUGCGGUGAUGCGUACCUUAAUAAUUUCUAAACAGGGGCGAAAGAGCCCGUAUUUAUCUGUGGUGCAAAAUUGCCGCCAGUGCUCUUGCUCACCACUCUAAAUUCAAAGACACAAGGAGAUCUGAUUGUUGCGAGGCAUGUACUCGGAGAAAACACUUCCAUAUGACAAGGGAGUUCUUGCUGAGAUCCUCCAGCCGAUUAUGGGAAAAGGGUUAAUACCAGUAGACUUAGAUGCCUGAAAGUUAAGAAGAAGAGCUAAAUCUCAUGAUUCCCUACAUUGUAUCUAGAGGCCAUGUUCAGAAUAUUUAGUGCCUGUUCAGAGGAAAGAAAACUGAAGUCUGAGAAAAUCUUAAGAGAAAAAAAAGUCUCAAGCGGAGGGGACACAAUCAAGUUGGAUCCUGAAGAAGAAUUCUAGAGUCUCUUCACAUUAUAGGGCUUACUGUCUUCAACUACGACUUUUGUUCUGUCACAAGGAGUCCCAUGUCAUUAAGGUUUUUUGAUUUUUGAAUAUACUCUUCACCAAGUUUAUAUAGUGAGCUGCUUCAUUCUUCUGCUACAUCAGAUGUGUUAUGACGCUCUUUUGAGGCAGAGCAUCCGUCUACUUUCGACUUCCUGUAUUAUAAUUUGGAAGUUUUCUCUAGCCAGAUGGAUCGUUCCGAGGCAAUGGUGAAGUUCCCAAGCGAUCUGAAGAUCAUAAGUGAUGGCCUUGAUGCUCGGUCUUCAUUUUGUUAUUUUCCGUGGCAGGAAAUAGUGUCAAGAAACUUCAGCAAAGGGACUAUUCUAUUCUCAAACUUGAAGCAAAUUAAUUUAUUUCCAUUUUUACACUUAGGAAUAUAAUAUGCUACUUGAUAUCAUUGGUGUUUGCGAUUUUAGAAGAGAAUCCCAACCUCUCAUUAAACCCCUUUUAUGCAUAAGUCAUCAACUUUUCGUCGAAUAAGGCUUACAAGAAGAUCAUGCAACACUUUUCCUUUUUUGGUUUCUCCCUCCCUCCAGAUUUGCUGGCCUAAGUGUAUGGUUCAUAUGUUUCUUUAAAUGAGACUGAAAAGUUUGCAGAAAUUACUACAAAAGAGUUUUCUUCUAACCAGGCAAAUGGACAAAGAUGUGAUCAUGUGACAGUAAUGUGGGCUCUUAUCUUAAGCUAUAGAGAGUGCAUUCUCUAUA